rnacentral:lncRNA from 1 species
AUGCAUGUGUUCCAGUGUUGCGUUUUUGUUAAAUAUCAUUCUGAAACUCUUCAAUUAUUUUACAGCUUAGUUAUGAAGCUUACGAAUAUUGAUCGUAUUACUCGACAAGAGCACCCAGAGUCUUCUAGAGCUAUGGAUGGAGUCUUGCACAAUCUUUGUCCUCCCCUCCACAGCUGUAUUAUAUGAAAAACCAAAUAACACAGUCUCUCGUGCUGGAUCUUUGCCCUUCCCAGAGUUCCUGAUACAGCUUCAUCUCCUGGCCCCUUCUUAUGGUAAAAUUUUCUCUCGCCCUUCUAAACUCUUCUAAGAUGCACAAGCACUUUUGGGUAUAACAAACAGAAGGAGAGACUUUAAUAUAAAAAUGCCUUCAAAAUAUCUCCUGAUAUUAAGAAAUUGUUUUUAAGGUAUAAUAAUGAUACUGUGGUUAUUUAAAGGGAAUCAGUGCUCCCCCCCCCCCCCCCCCCAAAUCCCCCUCUGACAUCAGACACUCAAACCAAGUCACUGGCUCCAGGACAUUUUCACCUAGUUUUGCCAGGCAGCCCGGCCCCAGCGCACUCCUCCUCUGCUGUGGUUCUGUUCUCGGGGGCUGGGGUGCCAGCAAGGCCAAAACUGCAGCUUCCCUCACUUCUUUUGUGGGCUGGUUCUUGCUCUCUGUGCUCUCGCCUGAAGUGUCCUAUGUGCUCUGCGUCUCCCAGCCUCCUGUCACCACCCUGCAUAAGGGGGUUUCAGGUAUUUGCAGAUGACCUUUCUGUUCCCUCUGCUAGGCCCAGUGGAAACCACCCCUCUUCCGUGUCCCCGUGAAAUGGAAAGUCUAGAUGCAGGCUUCAGAGUUUCUGUUGGGGAAGUUUCUAGGAUGCCUAUUGAUUUUCGAGUUUUUGUACUCAGGAAAAUUAUGAGUUGCUCCAAAAUUCCCUAAUGUAUCUUCGUAAUUCUAAUUAAUCCCUGAUAUUUGGAGAAUGUCAGGGUUUUCAGAUAACUUGGAUAUAUGCCAUCUCAUUUGUGUAAUCAUUUAUUGUUCUCUUGUACUGCACACGGCACCUGCUUGGCACUUCCUGUAACUGUAGGUGAGAGGGGCCGCUCUCAGCCGUGUGGACGCAGGCUCCAUUCCACUGUCCAGAUCUUGUUGUUUUCCUGACAGCUUUCUGGUCCCCCAUCCCCAGCGUGGCUCUUAGGUGUUGCGUCACCACUUCCCUUUCCCCUACUGCUCUGUGACCUACCACGUGAAGAGUGUUGGUCAGUGUGAACGAGCUAGCAUCCCAGGGUUGGCAGCUGCUUAGUUCUGACCUAUAGCUGGGUCUGGGCUGGGGACUGAGAGGGAGGGGCGGGAGCUGGAAAGGGGAGAAGAAACCCAUAAUUGUUCCCUUUCUCUUCUCUCCUUGCACUUUCAGUUUUAGAGAGACUAGAGGCAAGUCUUCUGCUGGCAGGGGGGCCUCCACUUAAGCUUGGGUUCCAAGGACACUAGGAGAACUGAGCUUAGGGCCUCCCAGCCCUGCUUGCACCCUCAGGACUGAGACCAAAUAGGGGAAGGGUGGAAAGGAGGAGGCACCAGCUCGGUUCGGGGCAGUCCUGGGAAGAGGGGGAAGAAACGGGGAGAGAGGUGGGAGAGACAGUGAAGAGCGAGAAGAGGAGAAGGGAGAGGAGGAGGACAUAUUUUCAUCUGUUUCUCACGUUAGAAAAAGCUGGGUUAUCCUGUGCCUUAUUUCAUUAAAAUGCAUUUCAUAGACUUCUGAUGAGAUAUUUAAAAUGUCCAAAUGGUAGGUGAGCUAUUGAUAUGCUAGGAUUUUGUGGGCAAAAUGAGGCAAUUUUUCAGAUAUUUCCUAAAGCAAGAAGUUCCUGACAUUGAGGAGACAGCGAUUUGUUGACCGUCUUUAUCCAAAUUUGCUUCCCAGAUCCUCAAUAAUAUAUUUCAUAUAAUAUAUAUUUCAUAUCAGGUUGGUGUUUUGACUCAGUUUUCCAGGUCAUUGAAGGUAAUUGCUUAAAACUCUUUCUCGUGCCUAGACAGACAAGACCUAUAUGUUGAUAAGUUUGGUUUGUUCUUUUUAUAUAAAUCCUGGCAGGAGUAUAUAGAUAACAUUUAUCUUUUUUAUUGCAGUGAUGAUAUGUUCACUUAAGGAAAUCCAGGAAAUACGGAAAAAAUGCAAAAGAGAAAACUAAAAGGCCCAAACCUUAGGGAGAAUUACUAUUAAUAUUUGGUGUGUAUCCAUCAUUCCAGACAGACUGCUGUACAUACAUCCUUUUCUCCCCAGUGGGGAUCGUGAUGUUCAUUAUACUCAGUAUCCUUCUUUUCAUUAGCACCAUACCGUAGACCUGGUCCUAUGUAUACAACAGGAUUUUUUAGAGUAUAUAACAUUCAGAAAAUGCACAAAUUGUAAGUUUGCAGCUUGAUGAAUGUCACAAAGUGAACACACCAUGGUAACCAAUAGAACACAAGAGGCACCUCAGAAUUGGAGCAUCCCAGCAUCCCAAAACCCUCCUUUAGCCCCUUCCAGACACUGUGCUCCAUCCCAAGUGUUACCACUAUCUUGACUUCUGAAGCAGACUUUUUCUCCCUGGUUUUGAAUUUAUGUAAAUAGUAUAUUUAUAAAAUAAAUAGCAUAUUCAUAAAAUAUUUAUAAAAACU